rnacentral:rRNA from 1 species
GCAGCAGUGAGGAAUAUUGGUCAAUGGCCGGGAGGCUGAACCAGCCAAGUCGCGUGAGGGAAGACGGCCCUACGGGUUGUAAACCUCUUUUGUCAGGGAGCAAGAGGCGGGUCGAGACCUGCUGUGAGAGUACCUGAAGAAAAAGCAUCGGCUAACUCCGUGCCAGCAGCCGCGGUAAUACGGAGGAUGCGAGCGUUAUCCGGAUUUAUUGGGUUUAAAGGGUGCGCAGGCGGAGGCACAAGUCAGCGGUAAAAUCGCGGGGCUCAACCCCGCUCCGCCGUUGAAACUGUGUCCCUUGAGUGCGCGAAGGGUAGGCGGAAUGCGUGGUGUAGCGGUGAAAUGCAUAGAUAUCACGCAGAACUCCGAUCGCGAAGGCAGCCUACCGGCGCGCAACUGACGCUCAUGCACGAAAGCGUGGGUAUCGAACAGGAUUAGAUACCCUGGUAGUCCACGCAGUAAACGAUGAAUGCUAUCUGUCCGGCCGGAAUGACGGCUGG